CCUAUCACCUCUCAGUGGGACUAAAGGCUAGUGACCAAGCCUUUAAAGAAGGGCCUUUGGAGACACUCCAGAUCCAGACUGUUGCUCUUGCUGUCCAGGAAGCCUGGCCUACUGCAGUUCUGGCUGCUAUAGACUACUUGGGGUACAAGGUACAGUGAAAGAUUCAGAGCCCGGCCCACCCCUGGGCUCUCUGUCUGAUGCCCCCAGCACAUUCCCAUACUUAGGCUCUACCAUGACCUUUGUGACCUGAAUGCUGUAAUGAACUUGAGCCCCUGCUUUCUGGACCAUGGAGACCCUGAGUGAGGUCUGGCUUCUCUCUGGGGAGAAAGUAGAGUUCAUGUCAACGAUCCUGGAAAUCAGACUGUGCGUGUUCAAGCCCCUUUUCCCAGAGGCCCCUCCUACUUAGCCUGGAUAACCUCCAAGAGAGCAACAACCCCUGUUCUGCUUGGGGCCAAGAGAUGGUCACAAUCUAUGGAGGGAAGGCAGGGCAGGAGCUGCAGGAGGAACUCAAAGCAGAAGCCACGGAGGUCUGUUGCAUGCUGGCUAGUUCUUGCUAGCUUACUCGGAGACUCAAGGAGCCAAAGAAACAGAAGAAAUCCAAACUCAGUCAAACUUCUAAACAGGACUAGCAAUUAUGGAGAGAUCUGACAGGAAUUUAAAGGAGAUGCUCAUAGAACAGAAGGGAGAUUCAGCUGGCCAAGAUGCGAGGAGGAUGGACACAUGGUGCUUGAGCUCAGGUAACCAGCCACAUGGAAGAACGUAAGUCUUUGUAUAAUGGGUUAUUUUAAAUUAUGAGCCAGUCAGAGAAGAGUCUAGCUAUACUGACUAGGUAUUGGUAUAAUAUUUAAUGAGGCUCUGUUGGGAUCAGCAAGCAGGCAUUUCUACAGGCAGCCCCUGGGGCCUGGCAGACCCGGCAGGUAUCAGGCAUUUGGAAAGACACCCAGACCACCUGCUGACCACCUGGAACCACUUGCGCAUGCUCUGGAUCAUGCUAUAAGAACUGGGGCCCCUGCCCUUGCUCUCUCUCUCGCUUCUCCCUCUUCUUCUCUCUCUCCUUCUCGCUGCAUCUUCUCUCCUUCUCCUUCCUUCUUCUCUCUCUCUCUCUCUGUCUCUCUAUCUACCUCCCUCUCUGUAACCCCCUCUACCUAAUAAACCUCCCGCGUGGAACCAAUCUCGUGGUGUGAUCUGUGGACCCGCGUGUAACUUCUGUAACCUCUACAUCUCUCUUUUUUUAUAAUUCCUAACAGGCUCAUGAGUCAUUAUUCCAGGAGCUUGCGGCUAAGAGGAAAACCUUCUACAACCCGUGUUUGUAUUCCAGCCAAAUUAGCCAUAUUGCUGGAUUAAAAUUCCUCUUAUUUCCCCCGCCCCCCUUCAAAGCAGGGUUUCUGUGUG